rnacentral:tRNA from 1 species
UGGCUCAGAGGUUAAAGCGUCUGCCUACAAUGCGGGAGACCCAGGUUCGAUCCCUGG